AAACAGUGCAGAGAGAAAGGGUAUUAAUUUGGAGUCAGAUAUUUCUGGGACACAGAUACUGUUUGGAAUGCUAAUGAAACCAGACAGGUAACAUUUCCUUCUUAACUCUGCAUCCUCCCCAGUAAAUGAAGAUGAUGAUGAUGACUUUAAAAGGGCUGUUGUAGAGACGAACAGAGAUGCAAUACUGGCUUACAUUUAUUGGGUGUCUCCUAUCUUCCAUGCACUAUGAUAAACAUUUUAUAUACUUUAUGCAAUUUAAUCUUUCCAACGAUUUUAUGAGACUGCUAUUAUGUUUAUUUUUAUUUUACAGAUGGUGAAAUUGAGGCAUAGAAGUCAAGAAAUUUGCUCAAGGUCGUGAAAGUAAUAAAUGGCGGAGCCCGUAUGUGAACACAGGCCAUGUAAUUCCAGAGCCAUCUCUUGAACCAUUAGACAGACUGAAGCAAUGCACCUAGGGUGGGGCAUGGAGGUGGUUGGGGGUGGGUGGUGUAGUUGUUUAGCUGCUGCAGUCAAUGAGGGAAGAGGAUCCUGUUCCUUCUGUGGAGUGGGUACCAGGGCACACUCCUUGCACUGAAGCUGCUCCUAUUUCUGAAUUACCAUGUUGUUAUCUUACUUCACUCCAUGUUGAACGUUAUACUUUUCUGUUCCGACUUGUUCUCUUCUCCCCUUCAGAUGGCUUCCUGGGUUCUUGUGUUUCUCUAAUUCUAGUAGAGAAAGGAUGACAAGAAUCUCGAUGUGAGUUUCAGAAGAAAACCAAUUCUCCGUCACCUACACCAAGAUGUUUCCUAGAAGCUCCAGGAGAAAUUGGGUCUCCCUGGAUGCCCAGUUUUCUAUCAAAAUGAGAUCUAAUGCUUUGGAAGCAUUAUCUCAGCGAGAUAGACCCCACCUACUCUACACACUGUUAAAAGAAAACCCUGGAGACGUAACACCUUUCUUUUUUAGCUAGCCAGCUUCCCGUGGACAUUAUAUAAUUGCUGUUAAUCAACAGAAUGGCCAAUGUUAGUCUUAAAAGAACCUUGUUAUCCAAAUUUUUGGGGAGAUUUGGAAAGGUAUGAGCCUGUUGAAAUAGAGCCUUUUUUUUCCUUCUAGGAGAGAAUGGUUUUCAAGAAGAGCAAGGACACAUAUGGAAGGCCUUAGCUUAUCUUUAGUGCCUCAUACACCCGUUCUGGACCCCAUGGAAAGGCCAGUGAAUGGGAUUAGGCCCCAGAGAUAGCAUGUCAGUCAUCAUGAGGGAUGAGCUAGAGCAUCCUUUAGUUUUUUUCUUUGGGUCACAUGUAAAAACAAUUUACCAGCAUUGAUGAGUGUUAUUAACAAUGAGAUAGGAUAUGGUCUCUCC
rnacentral:lncRNA from 1 species